AACAAUCCUUAAAAUAAAUAUAUAGUGACGGUAAACCUUAGAAAAGGAUCCGCAAUUGUGCUCGGACUAAAGAAAAGAGGGCUUAUCCACAAUUCUCUUCUGGCACGAAACUACGCAGCUAUACCUGGACACCAAUAUCAGCAAAAGAGAAAAUACUUAAGCAUAUAAUAAGCUAACAUCAAGGAUUUGAAGAACCAAAAUUGUAUCAUAUUGCUCUUCACCAAACAUGGAUAAAUAUUUGCCGCUUAUGCUUUAUUAGCUCUCUUACUCUUAUAUGUCGUGUGUUUCAAAUUAGAAUUUUCAACAGUAUAGUUGAUUUAAUUCGUAACCCAUAAGCUUUGAACCGUUAGGAGAAGAAGAGAUUUGAGGGAGAUGAUCCAUCAUUUUGGCUCUAAGGCCUUAGCAAUUGUUAAUAAUAAAUAAUCUGGAAGUGGAGGAAAAAGAUCUAGAACGCUCUGGAAUGGAAAGAAAAAGUAUUGUGGUUUGCUAAAAUAUCAAUCAUGCAUAAUUACUAUUCUGCCCUUCAAUCAUAUUAGAUUUCGAUUUUUGAAA
rnacentral:lncRNA from 1 species